rnacentral:misc_RNA from 1 species
GGAAGGAUCAUUAAUGAAUUGUAAUCGAGGCUGAUGCUGGCAGUUGCAUGUGCUCGCCCCGAACAAUCAUUGUCCCAAACACCUGUGCACCUUUCUGAGAGAAAAAUGGGGUUUCUUGAAUUCCCCUUCUUCCCUCGCAAAACACGCUGCCUGUAAUGUUGAACGUGUUUGUGCCAUCAUGGCCUUUAACUUAAUACAACUUUCAACAACGGAUCUCUUGGUUCUGGCAUCGAUGAAGAACGCAGCGAAAUGCGAUAAGUAGUGUGAAUUGCAGAAUUCAGUGAAUCAUCGAAUCUUUGAACGCACAUUGCGCCCUUUGGUCUUCCAUGGGGCAUGCCUGUUCGAGCGUCAUUCAACCCUUCAAGCCCCGCUUGGUGUUGGGCGCUUGUCCCGCCCGCGUGCGUGGACUCGCCUUAAAACUAUCGGCGUCGACGUGCCGGCCUUGAGCGCAGCAGAAUAGUCGCUCCGGGGCAGGGUGCUGCGGCUUGCCGUAAAACGACCACUUAAUUCUUGACCUCGGAUCAGGUAGGGAUACCCGCUGAACUUAAGCAUAUCAAUAAGCGGAGGAAAAGAAACCAACAGGGAUUGCCCUAGUAACGGCGAGUGAAGCGGCAACAGCUCAAAUUUGAAAUCUGGCCCUCGUUUGGGGGUCCGAGUUGUAAUUUGCAGAGGGAGCUUCGGCGUCGGCUUCGGUCUAAGUUCUUUGGAACAGGACGUCAUAGAGGGUGAGAACCCCGUACGUGGCCGCCGGCCUUUGCCAUGUGAAGCCCCUUCGACGAGUCGAGUUGUUUGGGAAUGCAGCUCUAAAUGGGAGGUAAAUUUCUUCUAAAGCUAAAUACUGGCCAGAGACCGAUAGCGCACAAGUAGAGUGAUCGAAAGAUGAAAAGCACUUUGGAAAGAGAGUCAAAAAGCACGUGAAAUUGUUGAAAGGGAAGCGCUUGCAGCCAGACUUGUCUGCGGUUGCUCAUCCGGGCCUACGCCCGGUGCACUCUUCCGCAGGCAGGCCAGCAUCAGUUCGGGCGGUCGGAUAAAGGCCCUGGGAAUGUAGCUCUCUUCGGGGAGUGUUAUAGCCCGGAGUGCAAUGCGGCCAGCCUGGACUGAGGUCCGCGCUUCGGCUAGGAUGCUGGCGUAAUGGCCGCAAGCGGCCCGUCUUGAAACACGGACCAAGGAGUCUAACAUCUAUGCGAGUGUUUGGGUGUCAAACCCGGACGCGCAAUGAAAGUGAACGGAGGUGGGAACCCCUUCGGGGGUGCACCAUCGACCGAUCCUGAUGUCUUCGGAUGGAUUUGAGUAAGAGCAUAGCUGUUGGGACCCGAAAGAUGGUGAACUAUGCCUGAAUAGGGUGAAGCCAGAGGAAACUCUGGUGGAGGCUCGCAGCGGUUCUGACGUGCAAAUCGAUCGUCAAAUUUGGGCAUAGGGGCGAAAGACUAAUCGAACUAUCUAGUAGCUGGUUCCUGC